GGGCCCGUAGCUCAGUUGGCUAGAGCAGUGGACUUUUAAUCCAUUGGUCCAGGGUUCGAAUCCCUGCGGGCCUA
rnacentral:tRNA from 1 species